CAGCAGUAGCCGCGGUAAUACGUAGGGUGCAAGCGUUAAUCGGAAUUACUGGGCGUAAAGCGUGCGCAGGCGGUUAUAUAAGACAGAUGUGAAAUCCCCGGGCUCAACCUGGGAACUGCAUUUGUGACUGUAUAGCUAGAGUACGGCAGAGGGGGAUGGAAUUCCGCGUGUAGCAGUGAAAUGCGUAGAUAUGCGGAGGAACACCGAUGGCGAAGGCAAUCCCCUGGGCCUGUACUGACGCUCAUGCACGAAAGCGUGGGGAGCAAACAGGAUUAGAUACCCCGGUAGUCCCUGUCUCUUAUAC
rnacentral:rRNA from 1 species